CUCUUCUUCUUCUUCAUCUAGUUGUGAAGAAAGCCACGCCGCAACGUUCUUCUUUUGUCGGAAACAAGUUCUCAGCAAAACUUCCUCUAGAUUUACAUGAAAGCCGAACCUUAUCUUGGUUUUGCUUCUUAUUUGGUCCUCAUAGGCUUUUUUUAGUGUCUCUGGUUUUCUUCUUCAUCUAGUUGUUCUGAAACGCCGCAACCGCUAAGAAUUGAUCGGCGAGCGCGACGAUGGCGAGCAAUUCCGAAGCAUGCUAGAUUUGAAUCCUCAGUUAAGGGAAAUGAUGCAGAAUCCAGAUUUCCUUCGUCAGUUUAGUUCUCCGGAGAUGAUGCAGCAAAUGAUGACUCUACAGCAAUCACUUUUAUCUCAGAAUAGAAACACAGCCAGCCAGUAAGUUUUUGGAUACCCUUGUGUGUUUGGAUUUGCUUAAACAAAGUUGAGCAUUUACAUGUCCUCUAUGUAUCUUAAUUGUUUUUUUCGGGUUGUUUAGUGUUUAGACAAUAUUGUAACUAGUAAAUAUUGUUUAGUGAACGAUAUCUAUAUCAAGAAAAGGAUUGAAGUAAGAGUAACGCGUAAGAGGGGUGAUCAUGGUACUGGAGACAAGCAUCAAGAUGACAGUGAUGAUGUUGGCGACAGGCUUCUCUGUUGAAAUUUGCUAGCUUUGAAUUUAACUUUGCCUUCUCUGUGAAAGCUUUGUUUUUUUUUGUCUUUGAUGUGUUUUCAAAUGAAUCUUGUAUACUUUGUCAUAUUAUUGUCAUGAAUCUUUGUUAUUCAAUAUGUGUUUAUCAAAAACUUGUAUAGUUUGUCUUC